CGGUCCGGGGAGCGGGCCGAGGCCCGACCCGGAAGCCUCCGCGCGGGCUGUGCUCGCCUCUCGCCGGGAAAGCUCCGGGCCGCCCGAGUCCUUGGGCCUGCCGCGGCCUCCCUCCCCCGGCCCCACGGGGGCCCAUGGGUCUCCACGGCGACGGCGGGGGCCCGGCCGGGGGGCGGGCAGCCCGGGUGGGGCCGCGGCGCUCCGGGGGCCUCCGCGGCGGCGUGGCCGUGUUCGCCGGCGUGGCCGCCGUGUUCACCCUCACGCUGCCCCCCUCGGUGCCGGGGGGAGACUCGGGGGAACUGAUCACAGCUGCACAUGAGCUUGGAGUUGCCCAUCCUCCUGGCUAUCCUUUGUUCACGCUGGUGGCUAAACUGGCAAUUACGCUCUUUCCUUUUGGUUCAGUUGCCUACCGCGUCAAUCUUCUGUGUGGCUUGUUUGGAGCAGUAGCUGCGUCGUUACUUUUUUUCACCGUUUUCAGGCUUUCUGGCUCACAUGCUGGAGGAAUCCUUGCUGCGGGGGUGUUUUCAUUUUCUCGUCUAACAUGGCAGUGGUCCAUUGCAGCAGAGGUUUUUAGCUUAAACAAUCUGUUUGUGGGGCUGCUUAUGGCUCUUACUGUACAUUUUGAGGAGGCAGCAACUGCAAAAGAAAGAUCAAAGAUAGCUAAAAUUGGUGCUUUCUGCUGUGGCCUUAGUUUAUGUAAUCAGCAUACAAUAGUACUCUAUGUUUUGUGCAUAAUACCAUGGAUUCUCUUUCGACUUUUAAAAGAGAAGGAACUCUCCCUGGGCUCUCUGUUGGAGUUGAGUCUGUACUUCUCUGCUGGUUUAUUGCCUUACGUCUACCUUCCUGUCUCAUCCUACCUCAAUCAAGCCCGUUGGACCUGGGGAGACCAGACAACAUUGCUAGGAUUUUUGACGCAUUUGCUCAGGGCAGAAUAUGGAACAUUCAGUCUGGCCAAAUCUGAAACAGGAUCCAGUAUGUCUAAAAUUUUGCUUUCUCAAGUAACAAGUAUGAGGACCCAACUCUCACUCAACAUUCAAGCCCUUGCAGUUUGGGCAAAUAUAUGUUUAGCAAGAAAGGACAGACAGAAUCCAUCAUUGGUAUGGCUUUUUACUGGAAUGUUUUGCCUUUAUUCAUUGUUCUUUGCUUGGAGGGCGAAUUUAGAUAUUUCAAAACCACUUUUCAUGGGUGUGGUGGAGAGAUUCUGGAUGCAGAGCAACGCGGUGGUGGCCGUCCUCGCUGGCCUCGGUUUGGCAACGCUGGCUUCUGAGAGUAACCGAGUGCUGAACACCAGUGGGCUUCAGUGUCUGGAAUGGCUUUCAGCAACUCUUUUUAUAAUUUACCAAAUAUAUUCUAAUUUCAGCAUUUGUGACCAAAGGACCAACUAUGUGAUUGAUAAAUUUGCGAAGAACCUUCUAGCCUCUAUGCCUCGUGAUGCAAUUAUCUUACUCAGAGGAGAUUUGCCAGGCAAUUCUCUCCGUUACAUGCAUUAUUGUGAGGGACUGAGACCAGAUAUUUCACUAGUGGAUCAGGAAAUGAUGACUUAUGAGUGGUAUUUACCCAAGAUGGCAAAGCAUUUACCAGGUGUCAACUUUCCUGGAGACCGGUGGAAUCCUGUGGAAGGAAUAUUACCUGGUGGAGUGGUCACAUUUAAUCUUUAUCAUUUUCUUGAAAUAAAUAAACAAAAAAAAACAUUUGUUUGCAUAGGAAUUCAUGAAGGUGACCCAACCUGGAAAAAGAACUAUUCACUGUGGCCUUGGGGCUCUUGUGACAAAUUAGUUCCUUCAGAGAUUGUAUUCAACCCUGAGGAGUGGAUUAAACUUACAAGAAAUAUCUAUAACUGGACUGCAGAAUAUGGAAGGUUUGAUCCAUCUUCUUGGGAAUCUGUGGCCGACGAAGAGAUGUGGCAAGCAAGGAUGAAAACACCGUUCUUCAUCUUUAACCUGGCAGAAACCGCGAACAUACCUUCAAAUGUGAAGGCUCAACUCUACACUCACGCGUAUAACCCUGUGAAUGGACGGAUAGCCUUACAUGCUGAAGGAGACUUUGCACGUGUGAUUAAGUUAAGGAUCUUGUGGUAGGAAGAUUAUCCUGGAUCGUCCAGGUGGACCCAGUGUAAUCACAUGGCCCUUCUAAGAAGGAGGGAAGGAGAGUCCAAGGCAGAGAAGGAGAGGUGAUAAUGCAAGCAGAGGGCAGAGAGAAAGAUUCAAAGGUGCUGGGUGGCUGGCCUGGAAGGUGGAGGAAGGGGCCACAAGUGGGGGAGUCCAGGCAGCCUCUGGAAGCUGCAAAGGGCAAAGAAACAGAUUCUGGAGCCUCAAGAAAGAACACAGCCCUGCUGGUUUUACAAAAACCUUGAUUUUAUGUAUUUUGACCUCCAGAGGUGUAAGAUAAUAUGUGUAUGUUGUUUUAAGCCACUGUGUUGGUGGUGAUUUGUUACAACAGCAACAGGAAACCCAUAGGGAACCAUUGGAACAGGACACAGCCCCCACCAAACAAGUUCUAACAGGUUGCCCUCCAUGCAAACGUCCCGCUCCUCGCCUCACUUGAAGCGAUGGGUUCGUGGCUGGUUGGGAUUUCCUGAGAAAGAUAAAGGGUCUUGGAGAGUGGCUCUGGCGCAGGUGGUCCUCGCUGGUGGGGAACAGGAGGAUGGAGCAGAGGCUUGCUGUUGCCUUGUUGUAACGAGCCCCUGCUUUUCUGCGAUUCAUAGUCCUGGGCUCUUCAAACACCUUUGGAGACUGUCUGGGAGCCUGCUGUCUAAGAAACAGAUGUCCUGGCAAGGACCAGUGAGCCCCGAGCCCCGGAGCCAUCUCUGUGAGCAACUGAGCUUUAUAAGGAGAUUGUCUCUUUACAAAAGGAACACCCAGUGAAUUGGCACAAGAACUAUGCUAUCGCUUGUGAGCGGAUGUUACGCCUUCGGGAAAGAGGUGCAGACCCUGAAGUCUUGUUAUCUGAAA